AGUGAACGCUGGCGGUAGGCCUAACACAUGCAAGUCGAACGGCAGCACAGUAAGAGCUUGCUCUUACGGGUGGCGAGUGGCGGACGGGUGAGGAGUACAUCGGACUCUACUUUUUCGUGGGGGAUAACGUAGGGAAACUUACGCUAAUACCGCAUACGACCUACGGGUGAAAGCAGGGGAUCUUCGGACCUUGCGCGAUUGAAUGAGCCGAUGUCGGAUUAGCUAGUUGGCGGGGUAAAGGCCCACCAAGGCGACGAUCCGUAGCUGGUCUGAGAGGAUGAUCAGCCACACUGGAACUGAGACACGGUCCAGACUCCUACGGGAGGCAGCAGUGGGGAAUAUUGGACAAUGGGCGCAAGCCUGAUCCAGCCAUACCGCGUGGGUGAAGAAGGCCUUCGGGUUGUAAAGCCGUUUUGUUGGGAAAGAAAAGCAGCAGGUUAAUACCCCGCUGUUCUGACGGUACCCAAAGAAUAAGCACCGGCUAACUUCGUG
rnacentral:rRNA from 1 species